GUGGGGAAUAUUGGACAAUGGGGGGAACCCUGAUCCAGCCAUGCCGCGUGUGUGAAGAAGGCCUUUUGGUUGUAAAGCACUUUAAGCGAGGAGGAGGCUACCGAGAUUAAUACUCUUGGAUAGUGGACGUUACUCGCAGAAUAAGCACCGGCUAACUCUGUGCCAGCAGCCGCGGUAAUACAGAGGGUGCAAGCGUUAAUCGGAUUUACUGGGCGUAAAGCGCGCGUAGGUGGCCAAUUAAGUCAAAUGUGAAAUCCCCGAGCUUAACUUGGGAAUUGCAUUCGAUACUGGUUGGCUAGAGUAUGGGAGAGGAUGGUAGAAUUCCAGGUGUAGCGAUGAAAUGCGUAGAGAUCUGGAGGAAUACCGAUGGCGAAGGCAGCCAUCUGGCCUAAUACUGACACUGAGGUGCGAAAGCAUGGGGAGCAAACAGGAUUAGAAACCCCAGUAGUCC
rnacentral:rRNA from 1 species